UGGGGAAUAUUGCACAAUGGGGGAAACCCUGAUGCAGCGACGCCGCGUGAACGAAGAAGGUAUUCGUAUCGUAAAGUUCUGUCCUAUGGGAAGAUAAUGACAGUACCAUAGAAGAAAGCUCCGGCUAAAUACGUGCCAGCAGCCGCGGUAAUACGUAUGGAGCGAGCGUUGUCCGGAAUUAUUGGGCGUAAAGGGUACGCAGGCGGUUUAAUAAGUCGAAUGUUAAAGAUCGGGGCUCAACCCCGUAAAGCAUUGGAAACUGAUAAACUUGAGUAGUGGAGAGGAAAGUGGAAUUCCUAGUGUAGUGGUGAAAUACGUAGAUAUUAGGAGGAAUACCAGUAGCGAAGGCGACUUUCUGGACACAAACUGACGCUGAGGUACGAAAGCGUGGGGAGUAAACAGG
rnacentral:rRNA from 2 species